rnacentral:rRNA from 1 species
GAGUUUGAUCCUGGCUCAGAUUGAACGCUGGCGGAAUGCUUUACACAUGCAAGUCGAACGGCAGCACGGGGCAACCUGGUGGCGAGUGGCGAACGGGUGAGUAAUAUAUCGGAACGUGCCCAAUCGUGGGGGAUAACGUAGCGAAAGUUACGCUAACACCGCAUACGAUCUACGGAUGAAAGCGGGGGAUCGCAAGACCUCGCGCGAAUGGAGCGGCCGAUAUCAGAUUAGGUAGUUGGUGGGGUAAAGGCUCACCAAGCCAACGGUCUGUAGCUGGUCUGAGAGGACGACCAGCCACACUGGAACUGAGACACGGUCCAGACUCCUACGGGAGGCAGCAGUGGGGAAUUUUGGACAAUGGGCGCAAGCCUGAUCCAGCCAUUCCGCGUGCAGGAUGAAGACCUUCGGGUUGUAAACUGCUUUUGUACGGAACGAAACGGUCUGCCCUAAUACGGCAGGCUAAUGACGGUACCGUAAGAAUAAGCACCGGCUAACUACGUG